AGAGUUUGAUCAUGGCUCAGAUUGAACGCUGGCGGCAGGCCUAACACAUGCAAGUCGAACGGUAACAGGAAACAGCUUGCUGUUUCGCUGACGAGUGGCGGACGGGUGAGUAAUGUCUGGGAAACUGCCUGAUGGAGGGGGAUAACUACUGGAAACGGUAGCUAAUACCGCAUAACGUCGCAAG
rnacentral:rRNA from 1 species